ACGCUAGCUACAGGCUUAACACAUGCAAGUCGAGGGGAAACGGCAUUAAGUGCUUGCACUUUUUGGACGUCGACCGGCGCACGGGUGAGUAACGCGUAUCCAACCUUCCCAUGACUAAGGGAUAACCUGCCGAAAGGCAGACUAAUACCUUAUGGUCUUCACUGACGGCAUCAGAUGUGAAGUAAAGAUUUAUCGGUUAUGGAUGGGGAUGCGUCUGAUUAGCUUGUUGGCGGGGUAACGGCCCACCAAGGCAACGAUCAGUAGGGGUUCUGAGAGGAAGGUCCCCCACAUUGGAACUGAGACACGGUCCAAACUCCUACGGGAGGCAGCAGUGAGGAAUAUUGGUCAAUGGGCGAGAGCCUGAACCAGCCAAGUAGCGUGCAGGAUGACGGCCCUAUGGGUUGUAAACUGCUUUUGUAUGGGGAUAAAGUCAAUCACGUGUGAUUGUUUGCAGGUACCAUACGAAUAAGGACCGGCUAAUUCCGUGCCAGCAGCCGCGGUAAUACGGAAGGUCCGGGCGUUAUCCGGAUUUAUUGGGUUUAAAGGGAGCGUAGGCUGGAGAUUAAGUGUGUUGUGAAAUGUAGACGCUCAACGUCUGACUUGCAGCGCAUACUGGUUUCCUUGAGUACGCACAACGUUGGCGGAAUUCGUCGUGUAGCGGUGAAAUGCUUAGAUAUGACGAAGAACUCCGAUUGCGAAGGCAGCUGACGGGAGCGCAACUGACGCUGAAGCUCGAAGGUGCGGGUAUCGAACAGGAUUAGAUACCCUGGUAGUCCGCACAGUAAACGAUGGAUGCCCGCUGUUGGUACCUGGUAUCAGCGGCUAAGCGAAAGCAUUAAGCAUCCCACCUGGGGAGUACGCCGGCAACGGUGAAACUCAAAGGAAUUGACGGGGGCCCGCACA
rnacentral:rRNA from 1 species